rnacentral:rRNA from 1 species
UACGAAGGGUGCAAACGUUGCUCGGAAUUAUUGGGCGUAAAGCGCACGUAGGCGGCUUGGCAAGUCGGUUGUGAAAUCCCUCGGCUCAACCAAGGAAGUGCAUCCGAAACUGCUGAGCUUGAGUACUGAAGAGGAUAGCGGAAUUCCCGGUGUAGAGGUGAAAUUCGUAGAUAUCGGGAGGAACACCAGUGGCGAAGGCGGCGAUCUGGGAAGAUACUGACGCUGAGACGCGAAAGCGUGGGGAGCGAACAGG